AUUGCGGGAGUUUGCGAUAUUUCUUUGAAUUUGUUGUAGCUCGAUGAAACAUCUCAACCACAUGCAAGAAAUUAAUGUUGUUAGCAAUAAUAAAACUAUCACUCUAAAACUGCCCUAUAGACAGAGAAAAGUGGAGGGAUAAAACAGGUCUAAUAGAGGAAAAUGAGAAUCGAGAGGCCAUGCAUCCUGAUCCCGUGAAUUUCAUGGAAAAGGAAUACGGUUAAUGUCAAAUUUACGCUAUGGGAGUAUUCAAGAUCCCAAACCAAUUGCAACUGUCAAAGGUUCUACCUAUACUAAAACAAAAGGAAGAUCAGGACCUAAGGGAAGUAGUUUUGCUACCGCUGUAAUACCUGCAGAAACAAAAGGCGAAAAGGAAGGAGAUACAUCUACUGUUAAGCCAAGAUGGUUCCGCUUGAGAUGGGAAGA